CGAUGACUCACGCAGCCAGGCCUUCGCCCCGCCGGGCUGGCACGUGAGCGCGCUGCUCGCCCAUUCUAAUUUUAGCCAUGAGGUGUCAGGGUCGUGUGAGGAAUACUUGUGUGAGGAUGAAGCUAUCUCAGAAUGACUGAUGUGAAUGAUGAAAACAAGGCUGCAUGUUUUAGCAGGGAACAUCUGUCCUCUUGCUGGUCCAGAGGAGGAGGGACCAAUGCGGUAGCCUGUGAGCCCAGCACCUAAACCUUGGUGGAGAGCAGGAACACAAGCUCCUGGGAGGCCAAGUUUUCAUCUGGCACUUGGUGGAUGCCUGCUGACUAUCUUUAAGUGAAGGAAUAAGCAGGAAUUAAUGGUUCAGACGUGCCUGGAUUGACGUUUUGGGGAGCAGGUUUUUCUCAUCAUGUAUCAGACUGGAUGCCAGGCAAUAGCUGGGGGAGACAUGCUUCAAUUCCUGUUCCUUUGAGUAGUGGCCAGGCCCAGCAGG